rnacentral:rRNA from 1 species
GUGCACCAGUUGUUCUGCCAAGGGCAUAGCUGGGUAGCUAAGUACGGACGAGAUAAACGCUGAAGGCAUCUAAGCGUGAAACUCCCCUCGAGAUAAGUGUUCCCAUCCUCGGGAGUAAGGCCCCUUGUAGACUACAAGGUUGAUAGGUCAGGAGUGGAAGUGCAGUAAUGUAUGGAGCGGACUGAUACUAAUAGGCCGAGGGCUUGACCUUA